rnacentral:rRNA from 1 species
AGUGAACGCUGGCGGUAGGCCUAACACAUGCAAGUCGAACGGCAGCACAGAGGAGCUUGCUCCUUGGGUGGCGAGUGGCGGACGGGUGAGGAAUACAUCGGAAUCUACUCUGUCGUGGGGGAUAACGUAGGGAAACUUACGCUAAUACCGCAUACGACCUACGGGUGAAAGCAGGGGAUCUUCGGACCUUGCGCGAUUGAAUGAGCCGAUGUCGGAUUAGCUAGUUGGCGGGGUAAAGGCCCACCAAGGCGACGAUCCGUAGCUGGUCUGAGAGGAUGAGCAGCCACACUGGAACGGAGACACGGUCCAGACUCCUACGGGAGGCAGCAGUGGGGAAUUUUGGGCAAUGGGCGAAAGCCUGACCCAGCAACGCCGCGUGAAGGACGAAAUCCCUUCGGGAUGUAAACUUCAAAAGUUGGGGAAGAAAUGCCUGAGGCUAAUACCCUUGGGAGAUGACGGUACCCAACGUAAGCCCCGGCUAACUACGUGCCAGCCGCCGCCGUAA